rnacentral:ncRNA from 10 species
CUUAUUACACGCAAAGGUAAUAAGCAAAUUAAAUAAGGGAAACUUUAUUUAAUUUGUAUCGGGAGGAAAUGCACGAUACA